rnacentral:rRNA from 1 species
UACAGAGGUCUCAAGCGUUGUUCGGAUUCAUUGGGCGUAAAGGGUGUGUAGGUGGCGCGCUAAGUCGGGUGUGAAAUUUCGGAGCUUAACUCCGAAACUGCAUUCGAUACUGGCGUGCUUGAGGACUGGAGAGGAGACUGGAAUUCAUGGUGUAGCAGUGAAAUGCGUAGAGAUCGGGAGGAACAUCAGUUGCGAAGGCGACUACCUGGCCUGUUCUUGACGCUGAGGCGCGAAAGCUAGGGAGCAACGGG